AUGGUUGCAGAUUCAGAAGUUGAAGUGGAGUGGAAUUUUUCUGAGUUGCAGAGAGGAGUGUCAAGAUUGAAGGUUUUAUGGUUAACAUCUUCUGAAAAUUGCAGAGUUGGUUGCGGAACAUUGGCUCUGAGUUUUGGCGUAACUGGUUUUUUUAAAUGUGUGCAGGAACUGGUUUAUGCAGGAUUGCAAAUGUGGUCUGCCUAG